GUGAUUUUAAGUGAAUUUUAAGUGUGGUGGCUGGAGAACAGAUGAAAUGCUUACUGGUUUGUUGUUUUCUGUUUGCUUAUUUCAGGUAAGGAAAAUAGGGACAGAAAAGGAAGCAAAAUAAGUAAGAGUGAGGAUCAGAACAAGCUAGAACUGCACAGGUCGCAAAUUACCCAGAAACGCUGAACACUGGGCGCUGCAAAAGUCUCUGUUAACUAAGAAGCCCCUGAGCUGAGUGCAUCCCAGUUUCAGUGAACUACAGAGAGGGUGUGACCCAGUACAAGAAAGCAUAAAAAUGACUACCAGUGAAGCAGCUACUAAACUAGACCUGGCUAGACUGGAAGCAGAAGAGAAAGAAAAUGAACUUAAGAGACUUAUCAAAUUGAAAAAAAAUUAGAAAAUAUUGCAGCAGCAGACAGAGAAGAAGAUGCCCACAAGACAGCUAUGGAGGCAGAAAGAGCCAAAGAGGAGGCUGCCCUCAAGAGAGAGAUGGAGGCCUAGAAGCAUGAACUGGCUGUUAUGGAGUUGAGGAGACAAACCCCUCCAGAUGCUGGCUCCACUUCCCCAAAAAUCCACAGAUGGGAGCAACUAAGCCCCCAGUAUGAUGAAACCAGCGAUAUUGCCGAAUAUUUCAUCACCUUUGAGAGACUGCAUGGAGGGUACACACAAUCCCUGAAGAUCAAAAGAUGACCACAUUGAUAGCAAAAUUGACUGGUAGAACUCUGGACAUAUUCAGUAAGAUGCCUAUUGAUGAUGCUUCAAACUAUGAAACACAAUUAAGCCAUGACUGGACUGUCAGACUGGAGAAUGGGACCCAGUUCCCUUCACCUGGAUCCUGGAUUUCUCCUCACUUCAGAGAAACUUUUUCGAGGUGAAACAAGGCUUGCACUUUGGGCUGCUGGACAGAACAAGCGUUCAGGCUGAAAAGCGAACAACAUUUCUCUCAAUUUCAGCAAAAAACAAACAAACUCCCACAAAAACAGGCACCUGAAAAAGUACCGCCCCUGACUUCACCUUUCCAAGGUCUUCUCCACACUCUCUCCCGUCCAGAGUGAGAAUCCUACUGACCAACAAACCACAUUCAGACCCUAAUGCAGCUCUUCCUCUGCAGGAUGUUGGAGAAAAACUCAGGUGAAAAAACCCUCCAAGGUCAGCUGCAAAAGUAGCCUAGGCAAGGACUUGGUCGAAAUUUGAAGCCGGGAUCUCUUGCAUUGUAAAGAAGACUCAUGCCCUAGUCCAACAAAUCCUUUGGAAACUCUAAGGAAAAGCCACAUUCCACAGGAGUUUCUAAAGACAAACGAGCAGCCAUACACCCAGGCAGAAGGAGCCUGGAAAUGGGAAGGCUCCCACGGCAAGAUAUUUUGAGCCCCCAACAAUUAGGUAGAAGAACAGGUAGAUGAAAACCCAAAGAAAGUUUCAAGAGUUCUCCUUCCUGGCUGAGCUGGGUGUGCUGUCCAGGUCGUGGAUGGUCAUUCUGGGGAGGGAUGUGGGUCUGGUCCAGUUUGGGGGGGUGGUUCUGAGGAAGGAUGUGGGUCUCAUAUAUUUGGAGGUUUGGCCCAGAGCCCAGUCUUUUGAGGGCACAGCUGGUGUCCUGAUCCUAGUCUAUCUGCCUCUCUUCUGGCAGAGAAGGCCAAGCCAGGCGAGUAUAAAUAAUGAUAUUGUAAAUAACAUGUAAUAAAGUUGUGGAUGUUUUUUCUUUUAAAAAAUGCAUUCACAGUUUUAAAUCUGCCCCAAUUUCAUCAGACCCUGGUAGUUCCUAUGAGAAAUAUGAAGGAUGAGCUAUUGUAACAGUUCCCGCUUAGUGGGAGCAACAGCUGGCUGGUGUUUUGGCUGCUCAGGCUUUUGUUAGCUGGUUUUACCCACUGUGUUUUCUUUUGCAUGUUUUCUUUCAUAAUGUAUUUGAUGUAUCUGUGUGUAACUUUUUCCCCUAAGGCACACAGCUGUACAGGUUUUAUUUAUAAUCGUUACAAGUUUAAGUUGCAGACGGAGGGGGCUCCCAACAAUGGCAGCCUUAAGGGGGGCGGCUAGAAGCUGGGGGACUGGAUUGGGACCCCCUAACGCUUACUGGUCUCUCUAUCCUGCAGUUUUAGUCCUCCCCCCCAGAUUAGCCUGAUUAUCACAAGAAAAGUUUUUUUUUUCUCCUGCUGCUAAUAGCCUACCUUAAUUGAUUGUUCUCAUUAAGAGUUGUAUGGCAACCCUCAUUUUCUCAUGUUCUCUCUCUCUCUGUGUGUGUGUGUGUGUGUGUGUGUGUGUGUGUGUGUGUAUAUAUAUAUAUAUAUGUGUGUGUGUGUAUAUAUAAUCUUCCUACUGUAUUUUCCACUGCAUGCAUCUGAUGAAGUGGGCUUUAGCCCAUGAAAGCUUAUGCUCAAAUAAAUUUGUUAGUCUCUAAGGUGCCACAAGUACUCCUCAUUAUCUUUUCUUCACUGAUUGCGCUGAGGGUUCUACCUGGCUCUAGCACUCUGGUCCCUCAGCUACCAAUGCCACCUGGGAACCCCGAUCGAUUCCAGCUUUAAGGAGUGCUGAGAUCCAUCUGUCUCUUUCUCUGUCUCUCUCUAGGUAUAGCCUCCUGACCUUGCCUUAUGUGAUCAGUUAUAGUUUGCUAGCCCUAACUUUUGUAAUCAAAUUUAAGUUAGAUUUAAUAUUGGAAUGAUUUUGUUUGUUUGGCUCCCCUUGUAAGGUUACUACCUGGAAAUAAAUAACUUUCAUGGUUAAGCUGAUUGCUCUCCCCCCUCAUGGGUGUUUUUGGCUUUUCCAUUCACUCUGCAGUAACGCUCCUUGUACCUAAGCUAAAGAUCCCUGCAGCGCCCAAAAAUCCUCUGGGGUUUGCUCAUC